ensembl:snRNA U6 U6 spliceosomal RNA
AUGCUUGCUUCGGCAGCACAUAUACUAAUUUUCAAAUGAUAGGGAGAUUAGCAUGCUCCUGCACAGGAUGACACACAAAUUCAUGAAGCGUUCCAUAAAGAG